GGUCUUGUAGUUCAAUGGAUAGAACGGAAGUUUCCUAAACUUCAGAUUCGGGUUCGAUUCCCGGCGGGACUAC
rnacentral:tRNA from 1 species